rnacentral:rRNA from 1 species
GACGAACGCUGGCGGCGUGCCUAAUACAUGCAAGUAGGACGCAGUUGCGAACGGGAGAGUAACGCGUAGGUAACUACCUAUUAGAGGGGGAUAACUAUUGGAAACGAUAGCUAAAACCGCAUACUAGUAGAUUGAACUGCGUUGUAUUAGCUAGUAGGAAGGUUAAUGGCCUACCUAGGCAACGAUACAUAGCCGGCCUGAGAGGGUGAUCGGCCACACUGGGACUGAGACACGGCCCAGACUCCUACGGGAGGCAGCAGGAGGGAAGCUUAGGCAAUGGGGGGAACCCUGACCGAGCAACGCCGCGGGAGUGAAGAAGGUCUUAGGAUGGUAAAGCUCUGUUGUUAAGGACGCGGUACUUAAACAGAAAGGGACGGCUAACUACGUGCCAGCAGCCGCGGUAAUAC